CAGGUGAUUCCAACUGUUGCAGCAGCAGGGAAAGGAUACUGAAGACUUCAAUCCCAGCAAGUAUCCUUAGGAUCAGAAGGUCGUGGCCACGUAUAAUUAUUCUGUGAAGGGGUCAGAAGUCUCAAUGUUCAGUCCAACAGUGACACUGCUAAGCAUCAUAAUUUGGACCCCACAGAACACUCUUUGUCCCAGCAAAUAAAGAACUAUUGCACACCACAUUGGGCUGCCUUCAGGACCCUGCUCCAAUAUUCAGGUGGGUCUUCAGUCCAGUGCCUGUGCUAUAUACCGGUAUUAAAUAUUUUGACUAUCUCUUGUACACACGUGGUAGAGAAAUGGCUGGCAUGGAAGUUAGGGGAUUUAAGUUGAGUCCUUGAUUAACCUCUGAUAUGGUUUGUUUGUGUCUCCCUUCAAAUCUCAACUUGAAUUGUAUCUCCCAGAGUUGCCACAUGUUGUGAGAGUGACCCAGAGGGAGGUAAUUGAAUCAUGGGGUAUGGUCUUUGCUGUGCUAAUCUUGUGAUAGUGAUUAAGUCUCACGAGAUCUAAUGGGUUUGCCAGGGGUUUCUGCAUUUGCUUCCUCCUCAUUUUCUCUGCUGCCACCAUGGAAGAAGUGCCUUUUGCCUCCCUCCAUGAUUCUCAGGCCUCCCCAGCCAUGUGGAACUGUAAGUCCAAUUAACCCUCAUUUUCUUCCCAGCAAUGUAAAAAUGGACUAAUGUAACCUCUCUGAACCUCAUUUUCUCCCAUUUGCUUAUUUAUUUAAAAAAUUAUUUGGCUGGAUGGGAUGGCUCACACCUGUAAUCCCAACACUUUGGGAGACUGAGGCAGGUGGAUCACUUGAGGCCAGGAAUUUGAGACCAGCCUGGACAGCAUGGUGAAACCCUGUCUCUACUAAAAAUACAAAAAUAAGCUGGGCAUGGUGGUGCAUGUGUGUAAUCCCAGCUACUUGGGAGGCUGAGGUACAAGAAUCACUUGAACCCAGGAAGUGGAGGUUGCAAUGAGCCAAGAUUGUGCCACUGCACUCCAACCCAGGUGACAGAGCAAGACUCUGUCUCCGAAAAAAAAAAAAGAAAAAAAAUUUUUUAGAGACAGUUUUGCUGUGUCACCCAGGCUGAAGUACAAUGGCAAUGAUCAUGGCUCACUGCAGCCUCAAUCUUCUGGACUCAAGCAAUCCUCCCACCUCAGCCUCCUGAGUAGCUGGGACUACAGGGGAUGCACCACCAUGCCCAGCUAAUUAAAAUAUUUUUUUAGCCUACAUUGUCUCUUGGAGAGUCUUGCUAUGUUGCCCAGGCCAGUCUUGAACUCUUGUCCUCAAGUGACCCUCCCACCUUGGCUGGCAUGAGCACUCAGCCAGUUUCUCCCAUUUAUAAAAUAGGAGGUUUGGACUAGAUUAUAGCUAAUGACCUUUUGAGUUCUAUUCUGGGAUUCAGUGAUUUAGAUAGAUCAGAACAUUUUUCAUUUUUAUCUGGAGGUUUUGGUGUCUUACAGAGGGAAAAGAAUGGCUAAAAGGAGUUGGAUAACUUGUUCCAAAAAGCUGGCCAAGCAGUUGGACUUGUCAAGAAAAAAGGCAGUGGAAGCAAAAUAGAGAACACUGUAUAAAAUCCCUGCCCAACUAUGCUGAGAAAACCAUUUGCAAUUCUGAUUCUAAAACCUCUAAAAAAAUUCAUAUUGGAGGUGGACAGUUCCCAGAGAAGGGCAGCUGAGAGAUUGGACAAGCUGGUGAUCUCUUUAUUUGAAGGCAGAUUAAGAUUUGUGAUACUUCUGCUUGGAAAAGCAAAGUUGAAUAAGAGGGUCAAAGACUAGACAUUUUUGAAAGACAUAGAGGGACAAUCACUGACUUACUCAUCAAGCCUUUAUAAUCCUGCACCUGGAAAACAGCUCUUAAAGAUUGAAAGGGCUAAAUUUAGAGUCACGGUCUUCUCUGCACACCGGUAAGUGUGAAGUCUCGGUGAUAAUACUUGUGAGACUUGUUACCCCAAGAAGUCCUAUGAGCUGUUUACACUGAUCCAAAUAAGGUGGAUGCUAGUUUAUGGUGAUGCAUCUAUAAAAACGGAGGGACACUGAUGUUCAGGGCACAUCAGGGAAGGCAGUGCUGAUCUCUUCUAACCCAGUAUAGCCACUCUCCAAGAGAGAAUAUAGGCCAAAAUGACACCUAGGUAUGCUUCCAGAAGGCAUUUAGCUUUUUUUUUCCCCCCCUUUUUCGUUUUUCUUUAUUUUCUUAUUGUUAUCUCAUGGAAGUAAUGAAUGAUCACUUGCAGCAAGAAAAUUUAAACGGUUCAGAAGACUGUGAAAUUAAAAGUAAGUUUGUUCCCCUGCCAACCACUGUUCUUCUUAGAGGUAACCGCAGGAAAAUUUGCCUGUCCAUUUUUAUUUGUACAAAAAUAUAUGUAUGAUCAUAUACAUAUACUUAACUUAAUAUCUUAGGUACCUCUAUAUGAGGACACGUCCACGUAUUUAAUUAUUUUAGUGACUAGAUUCCAUCAUGUAAAUAAGUCAUAAUUUAUUCAACCUACUAAUGAACACUUUGUUUCCAGCAUUUGCCACAUUUGCAAUGUUACAAUGAGUAUUUUUGUAUCUUGUAUAUAUCUUGUACUUGAGUCCACUUGUUUGUUAGGGUGCUUUUAUACAGUGAAGUUUCUGGGAAAAGUAUUGCUACAUUAAAUUAUAUCACAUAAUACAUUUUGAUAAAAUGGCCAAGUUUUUUCACCAACUUAUGCUCUGUUUAUGAGUGUUCCACUUUCCCUAUGCUAUCAUGAUAUGACAAUUUCUAUAUUUCCAUGUCUUUAUGCAUCUCCUCCUGGCUAAGCAAAAAUGUAUUCAGUUAAGUAUAUUACUACACUCCUAAAAGCACAGAUGUUAUGAGGAUAGCAAAGUGAUAUAAAUAAGCUUUGGAACUUGGAGAAAUGCCAUAUAACAAUAUCUCUGUUGGCCAAAUGGAUACAAUCACAUAGAGUUUUCUGAGGAAUUUUAUUCCCAGGUCCCCAAACAGGGUAUUAGAUCUGAAUUUCAUUUUAAAAUUUUAUUCUGUUAUACAUAUCAUUCAUAGAAAAGAGUAUGCCUUGGAAUGUAUAAAGAAUGAACACCUGUGUAGAAUCUUGUUUAUGGCAAUUAAAGGUUGAGUUGACUAAAAUAA